AGCUCCCCAACCAAGGAUUGAACCCGCACCUCCGGAACUGGAAGGUGAAGUUUUAACCACUGGACUGCCAGGGAAGUCCCCAGAUGCUGUCUUUCAGGAACUGAAUCCAGAGUGGAGCAACGUAAAGACCUAAAGUAGUUGGAGAGCAUCCAUCUUGAUGAUGUAGCCCUGAAGAGAUGGCUCAAUAGCUCCUGCCACAUAGACCCUCAGAGCUGAUCUCUGGCCUUCCUGAGCCUGCAUCUUCAACUUCUUUUGCUGCCUUCUGUAGGUUUCAGAAAGUGCUAAGAAGUCCCAGCCAUCAGUGUUCCAGAGGAAGGGGAACAAGAUUCUGGACCAUCAUUUGCUUUACCAGGAUACACAAGUUCUUCUGAGAGGUUGAAUCGGUUGUUCUUCUGUCUCUGCUUUUCCCCAGGAGAAAUGGCCAAACGUACCUUUUCCACAUUAGAGAUAGUCCUGAUUUUCCUCUUUGUGAUGAUGACAGGGAUCUCGGUGGCUCUUCUCAGCCUGUUGUUCAUCACCAGUGGGACCAUUAAGCAUCACACAGGUUUUCCAACCACCCAGAUCCCUCCAGCCACCCAGGGCCCCACAGCCAUCCAGACAUUUCCAACACCCAGCAACCCAGAGCCUACUCUAUUUCAGAACUUCAGUGGCUACCAUAUUGGUGUUGGGCGAGCUGACUGCACGGGCCAAGUAGCAGAUAUCAUUUUGAUGGGUUACAGCAAAACUGGCCAGAAUGCACAAGGCAUCCUCACGAGGUUGUACAGUCGUGCGUUCAUCAUAGCAGAACCAGAUGGGUCCAGUCGAGUAGUGUUUGUCAGCAUUGACAUAGGCAUGGUAUCCCAACGACUCAGGCUGGAGGUCCUGAACAGGCUGCAGAGUAAAUAUGGCUCCCUGUACAGAAGAGACAACGUCAUCCUGAGCGGUACUCACACACACUCGGGUCCAGCAGGAUAUUUCCAGUACACUACAUUUGUGAUUGCCAGUGAAGGAUUUAGCAAUCGAACUUUUGAGUACAUGGUUGCUGGCAUCAUGAAGAGCAUUGAGAUAGCACAUGCAAAUAUGAAACCAGGCAAAAUCUUUAUCAAUAAAGGGAAUGUGGAUGGUGCACAGAUCAAUCGAAGCCCUUCUUCUUACCUUCGGAAUCCACAGUCAGAGAGAGCAAGGUAUUCUUCAGAUACAGACAAGGAAAUGGUACUCUUGAAAAUGGUAGAUUUGAACGGAGACGACCUGGGUCUUAUCAGCUGGUUUGCCAUCCACCCAGUCAGCAUGAACAAUAGCAAUCAUCUUGUAAAUAGCGACAAUGUGGGCUAUGCUUCUUACCUUUUUGAGCAAGAGAAGAACAAAAGAUAUCUACCUGGAGAGGGACCGUAUGUAGCAGCUUUUGCUUCAUCGAACCUGGGAGAUGUGUCCCCCAAUAUUCUUGGCCCGCGUUGCAUCAACACCGGAGAGUCUUGUGAUAAUGCCAAUAGCACUUGUCCCAUUGGUGGGCCUAGCAUGUGCAUUGCUAUGGGACCUGGGCAGGAUAUGCUUGACAGCACACAAAUCAUAGGACGUAAAAUAUAUGAGAAAGCAAAGGAACUGUAUGCCUCCGCCUCUCAGGAGGUAACUGGGCCACUGGCUUCGGCUCAUCAGUGGGUGAAUAUGACGGACGUCACCGUCUGGCUCAAUUCUACACACACAGCAAAAACAUGUAAACCAGCCUUGGGCUACAGUUUUGCAGCUGGAACGAUUGACGGAUUUGGAACCCUCAAUUUUAUGCAGGGGACAACAGUAGGGGAUCCAUUUUGGGACAGUAUUCGGGAUCAGGCCCUGGGCAAGCCAUCUGAAGAAAUCAAAGAAUGCCAAAAACCAAAGCCAAUCCUUCUUCAUACUGGAGAGCUGUCAAAACCUCAUCCCUGGCACCCAGAUAUAGUUGAUGUUCAGAUUAUUACUCUUGGGUUCUUGGCCAUCACUGCCAUCCCUGGGGAGUUUACGACCAUGUCUGGACGAAGACUUCGGGAGGCAGUUCAAGAGGAAUUUGCAACUUAUGGGAUGCUGAAUAUGAAUGUUGUUAUUUCGGGUCUAUGCAAUGUAUAUACACACUACAUUACCACCUAUGAAGAAUACCAGGCUCAGCGGUAUGAGGCAGCAUCCACAAUUUAUGGACCACAUACUCUGUCUGCUUACAUCCAGCUUUUCAGAGUCCUUGCUAAGGCCAUUGCUACGGAUACAGUAGCCAAUCUGAGCAGCGGUCCAGAGCCUCCAUUUUUCAAAGACCUGAUGACCCCAUUAAUCCCUAAUACUGUGGACAGAGCGCCUGUAGGCACAACUUUUGGGGAUGUCCUGCAGCCGGCCAACCCUCAAUACAGAGUGGGAGAAGUUGUUGAAGUUACAUUUGUAGGUGCUAACCCGAAGAAUUCAGCAGAAAACCGGACCCAUCAGACCUUCCUCACUGUGGAGAAAUAUGAGGCCACAUCAGCAACAUGGAAGAUAAUGCAUAAUGAUGCCUCCUGGGAGACUCGGAGCCCACAAUCAGAAUAGCAGUCAACACAGAGGAUAUGUGUAGACUUCAGCCUUGUUCAACAACAGCAGUAUCACCAGCUAUUUACUGAAAGCACUGGACCUGUCACUGAGGAAACAUAGGAUGCUGAGCACACCGUCUCUGCCCAGGGGAUUUGCCCUCCACAUAACUGAAAGUAUCAGUUAGUUAGCCCAUGGUACCUUGCUGUAUCUAGAAGAGUAGCUGAACUUCCUGCCAUGGUCUACAAGGACCGACGUGAUCUGACUCCAUCUGUUUCUAUCAUCUCAGCCACUCUUCCACAGUUCACUCUGCCCUGAUCCUACUCACCUGUGUCCUGUUCCUUGGCCAUACCAAGUUUGCUCCUGCUUCAGACACUUUGCAUUCUCUGUUCCUUAUUCCUAGAAUAUUCUUCCUCUAGACAUGUGUGGGUUCAGUUUAAAUGACAUCUCCUUAGGGCUACCUCUGUCUUACUUUCUUCAUUUCACUUAUAAAUUUUAAAAUUAUUUGUUGGUUUACUUGUUUAUUGCUUUCUUCCUAUCCUUGCCCUAGUAGAACAUAAACUCCAUGAAACUUUGGACCACGUCUGUCUCACUCACUAUGGUAUUCUCAGUACCUCCAGCAUAGAGUCUGGCACAUGAGCUAAUGAAAUAUAUAUUUUGAACAAAUGAAUCUAUAUGCAAAAAGAAGUGUCAAGUUGAAGCAGGGGAUGGCAAGGGCUAAAAGGAUGCUAUAGAAGUUCUAAAGCAGGGGACAUCCUGUGUUCUGAAUAUCAGUUUCUAUUGGCACAAGGGAUUACUGGGUCAUAGCAAUGCAACGAUACAAUGGCAUAUUCCAGACACUGCCCAACCUGGAACCUA